GCUCAUCACUACUGUAUUACCUCAUUUCUUGUGCUGGUACAGCAAGCAGCCACCAUCUUAUGUCUCAGGAGCUGCACACUCUCACUGGUUUUCCUGCCACAUCAUCUGUUAUUCAGCCUGUUUUUGAGCAUAGUCGGUAAGAGCACUAUCU